rnacentral:rRNA from 1 species
UACGACUACAUAUCAGGCAUAUCAAUAAGCGGAGGAAAAGAAACUAACUAGGAUUCCCUCAGUAACGGCGAGUGAAGCGGGAAGAGCUCAAAUUUGAAAUCUUCAAGGUUUUACCUUGACGAAUUGUAGUUUAAAGAAGUGUUUUCUGUUGGUGUUUUGGUAAAAGUUCUUUGGAAUAGGACAUCAUAGAGGGUGAGAAUCCCGUAUUUGACCAUUACUUCCAGCGUUGUGAUACACUUUCAAAGAGUCGGAUUGUUUGGGAAUGCAGUCCAAAAUGGGUGGUAAAUUUCAUCUAAAGCUAAAUAUUGGCGAGAGACCGAUAGCGAACAAGUACCGUGAGGGAAAGAUGAAAAGAACUUUGAAAAGAGAGUUAAACAGUACGUGAAAUUGUCAAAAGGGAAGCGUUUGACACCAGUGUUGUUUUCUCGAAAAUCAAUUAAAAAGUAUGGGAUUUUGUAUUGUUAAGACCUUAUCAGCUUACUGUACUUUUUUCUUGAUUCUUUUUAAUGCACUUUUCGUUUAACAAGUCAACAUCAAUUUCUUUUGUUGUAAAAGAGGUCAUUGGAAGGUGGCUUUCACUUCGGUGAAAGUGUUUAUAGCCUUUGGCUUCUACAAUCGGAGAGAUUGAGGUCUGCAGCGUAGAUCCUUCGGGGUUAGAUACGUAGAUGCUAAGUUAUAGUUUUUCAUAGACAACUUGUUGACUAUGAUUAAUCAUGUAGCUUACUCGCUUAUGCGCUAUUUUACCUACGCUUAGGAUGUUGAAUCUGUGCGAGACUAC